GCUGUGAUAGCUCAGUUGGUUAGAGUAUGGUGCUGAGAAUGCCAGGCUUGCAUGUUUGAUCCCCAUAUGGGACAACU